AGUGAACGCUGGCGGUAGGCCUAACACAUGCAAGUCGAACGGCAGCACAGGAGUGCUUGCUCUCUGGGUGGCGAGUGGCGGACGGGUGAGGAAUACAUCGGAAUCUACCUUUUCGUGGGGGAUAACGUAGGGAAACUUACGCUAAUACCGCAUACGACCUACGGGUGAAAGUGGGGGACCGCAAGGCCUCACGCGAUUAGAUGAGCCGAUGUCCGAUUAGCCAGUUGGCGGGGUAAUGGCCCACCAAGGCGACGAUCGGUAGCUGGUCUGAGAGGAUGAUCGGCCACACUGGAACUGAGACACGGUCCAGACUCCUACGGGAGGCAGCAGUGGGGAAUAUUGGACAAUGGGCGCAAGCCUGAUCCAGCCAUACCGCGUGGGUGAAGAAGGCCUUCGGGUUGUAAAGCCCUUUUGUUGGGAAAGAAAUCCUGUCGAUUAAUACUCGGUGGGGAUGACGGUACCCAAAGAAUAAGCACCGGCUAACUUCGUGCCAGCCGCCGCAGUAAGAC
rnacentral:rRNA from 1 species